UACGAAGGGGGCUAGCGUUGCUCGGAAUUACUGGGCGUAAAGCGCACGUAGGCGGACUCUUAAGUCGGUGGUGAAAUCCUGGAGCUCAACUCCAGAACUGCCUUCGAUACUGAGAGUCUCGAGUCCGAGAGAGGUGAGUGGAACUGCGAGUGUGGAGGUGAAAUUCGUAGAUAUUCGCAAGAACACCAGUGGCGAAGGCGGCUCACUGGCUCGGUACUGACGCUGAGGUGCGAAAGCGUGGGGAGCAAACAGG
rnacentral:rRNA from 1 species